AUUGAACGCUGGCGGCAGGCCUAACACAUGCAAGUCGAGCGGAUGAAGGGAGCUUGCUCCUGGAUUCAGCGGCGGACGGGUGAGUAAUGCCUAGGAAUCUGCCUGGUAGUGGGUGAUAACGUCCGGAAACGGGCGCUAAUACCGCAUACGUCCUGAGGGAGAAAGUGGGGGAUCUUCGGACCUCACGCUAUCAGAUGAGCCUAGGUCGGAUUAGCUAGUUGGUGGGGUAAAGGCCUACCAAGGCGACGAUUCGUAACUGGUCUGAGAGGAUGAUCAGUCACACUGGAACUGAGACACGGUCCAGACUCCUACGGGAGGCAGCAGUGGGGAAUAUUGGACAAUGGGCGAAAGCCUGAUCCAGCCAUGCCGCGUGUGUGAAGAAGGUCUUCGGAUUGUAAAGCACUUUAAGUUGGGAGGAAGGGCAGUAAGUUAAUACCUUGCUGUUUUGACGUUACCAACAGAAUAAGCACCGGCUAACUUCGUG
rnacentral:rRNA from 1 species